rnacentral:rRNA from 2 species
AGCAUAAUACCCGGUAGACCACUUCUCCUGGGAAUGGUUUAUGGUUGAAAUGAUUCGUCGCCAUAGGAUGGGACUGCGGCCUAUCAGCUUGUUGGUGAGGUAAUGGCCCACCAAGGCGAUUACAGGUACGGGCUCUGAGAGGAGAAGCCCGGAGAUGGGUACUGAGACAAGGACCCAGGCCCUAUGGGGCGCAGCAGGCGAGAAAACUUUGCAAUGUGCGAAAGCACGACAAGGUUAAUCCGAGUGUUUCCUGCUAAAGGAAUCUUUUGUUAGUCGUAGAACCACUGAUGAAUAAGGGGUGGGCAAGUUCUGGUGUCAGCCGCCGCGGUAAAACCAGCACCUCAAGUGGUCAGGAGGAUUAUUGGGCCUAAAGCAUCCGUAGCCUGUUUUGUAAGUCUUCGGUUAAAUCCACAUGCUUAACAUGUGGGCUGCCGGAGAUACUGCAAAACUAGGGAGUGGGAGAGGUAGACGGUACUUGGUAGGAAGGGGUAAAAUCCUUUGAUCUAUUGAUGACCACCUGUGGCGAAGGCGGUCUACCAGAACACGUUCGACGGUGAGGGAUGAAAGCUGGGGGAGCAAACCGGAUUAGAUACCCGGGUAGUCCCAGCUGUAAACGAUGCAGACUCGGUGAUGCAUUGGUUUAUUGCCAGUGCAGUGCCGCAGGGAAGCCGUUAAGUCUGCCGCCUGGGAAGUACGUACGCAAGUAUGAAACUUAAAGGAAUUGG